CACACUUAUCUCAAGUGUCCUAACAACAGCGAUCGGGUCUGGAACGUUGAUGUGAAGUUGAAUCUCUUUGAUGUUCUUCUAAAAGUCUCUUCUGAGGUUCCAGCCUCAUUCAGUAUGGCGAUCUGCUACCAAAACCAGAGUACGGGCGCCUGCACCAUCCAGUCGGCAGUCUAUAAUAUUUCAACGCCUUCUAAAGAGAUGCAGCUCUCCCUCCCUUGGCCUGGUCUUGGCACAUGUAUUAAGGUCUGGCGAUCUGAUGUCCGUUUUGCUCAUGAGUAUCU